rnacentral:rRNA from 1 species
AAUCAACGCUGGCGGCGCGCCUAACACAUGCAAGUCGAACGAGAAAGUGGAGCAAUCCAUGAGUAAAGUGGCGUACGGGUGAGUAACACGUGGGUAAUCUGCCUCUUAGUGUGGAAUAACCCUGGGAAACCGGGGCUAAUACCGCAUAAGCCCGAGAGGGGAAAGCAGCAAUGCGCUGAGAGAGGAGCCCGCGACCGAUUAGCUAGUUGGCAGGGUAAAAGCCUACCAAGGCAGAGAUCGGUAGCCGGCCUGAGAGGGCACACGGCCACACUGGCACUGAAACACGGGCCAGACUCCUACGGGAGGCAGCAGUGGGGAAUCUUGCACAAUGGGGGAAACCCUGAUGCAGCGACGCCGCGUGAGCGAUGAAGCCCUUCGGGGUGUAAAGCUCUUUCGGCAGGGAAGAUGAUGACGGUACCUGCAGAAGCAGCUGCGGCUAACUACGUGCCAGCAGCCGCGGUAAUACGUAGGCAGCAAGCGGUU